AGCUUUGUAACAGUGGCAGUAUCAUAGCCAAUGAGGUUUAUCUGAGGCACGAUUACUGCUAAUUGAAAACUUUUCCCAAUAUCUGGCCGGGAUGAUUUGAAAUAUACUCGGCAUUGGCAAUUUUUGGAAAAAAGUAAUUA
ensembl:snRNA U4 U4 spliceosomal RNA